AGUCGUAACAAGGUCUCCGUUGGUGAACCAGCGGAGGGAUCAUUACCGAGUUUACAACUCCCAAACCCCUGUGAACAUACCACUUGUUGCCUCGGCGGAUCAGCCCGCUCCCGGUAAAACGGGACGGCCCGCCAGAGGACCCCUAAACUCUGUUUCUAUAUGUAACUUCUGAGUAAAACCAUAAAUAAAUCAAAACUUUCAACAACGGAUCUCUUGGUUCUGGCAUCGAUGAAGAACGCAGCAAAAUGCGAUAAGUAAUGUGAAUUGCAGAAUUCAGUGAAUCAUCGAAUCUUUGAACGCACAUUGCGCCCGCCAGUAUUCUGGCGGGCAUGCCUGUUCGAGCGUCAUUUCAACCCUCAAGCACAGCUUGGUGUUGGGACUCGCGUUAAUUCGCGUUCCCCAAAUUGAUUGGCGGUCACGUCGAGCUUCCAUAGCGUAGUAGUAAAACCCUCGUUACUGGUAAUCGUCGCGGCCACGCCGUUAAACCCCAACUUCUGAAUGUUGACCUCGGAUCAGGUAGGAAUACCCGCUGAACUUAAGCAUAUCAAUAAAAAGUCG
rnacentral:rRNA from 1 species